rnacentral:misc_RNA from 1 species
GAAAUGCGAUAAGUAAUGUGAAUUGCAGAAUUCAGUGAAUCAUCGAAUCUUUGAACGCACCUUGCGCUCCUUGGUAUUCCUUGGAGCAUGCCUGUUUGAGUAUCAUGAAAUCUUCAUAGUAAAUCUUUUGUUAACUCAAUUGGUUUCUACUUUGGUAUUGGAGGUCUUUGCAGCUUCACACCUGCUCCUCUUUGUUCAUUAGCUGGAUCUCAGUGUUAUGCUUGGUUCCACUCGGCGUGAUAAGUUAUCUAUCGCUGAGGACACUGUAAAAGGUGGCCAAGGUAAAUGCAGAUGAACCGCUUCUAAUAGUCCAUUGACUUGGACAAUACUUUUAUGAUCUGAUCUCAAAUCAGGUAGGACUACCCGCUGAACUUAGGC